UACGUAGGGGGCAAGCGUUGUCCGGAAUCGUUGGGCGUAAAGCGCGUGUAGGCGGCCCGAUAAGUCCGCUGUGAAAGCCCAGGGCUCAACCCUGGGAUGCCGGUGGAUACUGUCGGGCUCGAGUCCGGAAGAGGCGAGUGGAAUUCCUGGUGUAGCGGUGAAAUGCGCAGAUAUCGGGAGGAACACCAAUGGCGAAGGCAGCUCGCUGGACGGUACUGACGCUGAGACGCGAAAGCGUGGGGAGCAAACAGG
rnacentral:rRNA from 1 species